CCUACGGGAGGCAGCAGUGAGGAAUAUUGGUCAAUGGCCGAGAGGCUGAACCAGCCAAGUCGCGUGAGGGAAGAAUGUCCUAUGGAUUGUAAACCUCUUUUGUCAGGGAGCAAAGUAACCUAUGUGUGGGUGUUGGAGAGUACCUGAAGAAACAGCAUCGGCUAAUUCUGGGCCAGCAGCAGCGGUAAUACGGAGGAGGCGAGCGUUAUCAGGAUGUAUUGGGGUUAAAGGGUGGGUGGCGGGAUUCUCAAGUCUGCGGGAAAAUCGUUGAGUUAAACUCCAUCCAGCCGUUGAAACUGAUGAUCUUGAGUGUGCGAGAGGUAGGCGGAAUGCGUGGUGUAGCGGUGAAAUGCGUAGAGAUCACGAGGAACACCGAUUGCGAAGGCGGCAUACCGGCGCCCGACUGACGCUGAAGCGCGAAAGCGUGGGUAGCGAACAGGAUUAGAUACCCUGGUAGUC
rnacentral:rRNA from 1 species